ACACCCGCAACGUUUUCGCGGCGUCGGUGGUAACACCCUCUAAUUCUCUCCCUCCACCUACUUUUUUUUACAUUGGCAUCUCUCUCUCUCUCUCUCUCUCUCAUCUUUCAAUCUCAUGAUUGUUUAACGAGUCUUUUUUCCUUUUAUCCUCUUUUAUUCUUUCUGUCCUCUUCCAUUUUUCGUUUUCAAGCGUCCGAUUCAGAUCUCCCGAAUCGGAUCACAAUGGCGGCAUCGCGGCGGCUCCGUGAUCUCCAAUCGCAACCGGGGAACAAGAUCUGCGUCGAUUGUUCACAGAAGAACCCGCAAUGGGCGUCUGUUUCCUACGGCGUUUUCAUGUGCCUAGAGUGCUCUGGCAAGCAUCGUGGUCUCGGUGUUCACAUAUCCUUUGUCCGAUCCGUCACCAUGGACUCAUGGUCUGAGAUCCAGAUCAAGAAAAUGGAAGCUGGAGGUAACGAACGGCUCAACGCUUUUUUAGUUCAGUAUGGCAUCCCUAAAGAGACUGAUAUCGUUGCUAAAUAUAAUACUAACGCCGCUAGCGUUUACCGGGAUCGAAUCCAGGCCCUUGCCGAGGGUCGACCUUGGCGGGAUCCACC
rnacentral:misc_RNA from 1 species